GGAAGAUUAGCUCAGUUGGGAGAGCGUCGCCGCCUACAAGGCGAAUGUCGCGGGUUCGAGUCCCUUAUCUUCCACCA
rnacentral:tRNA from 1 species